rnacentral:rRNA from 1 species
AGAGUUUGAUCCUGGCUCAGGAUGAACGCUAGCGGCAGGCUUAAUACAUGCAAGUCGAGGGGCAGCGCGGGGUAGCAAUACUCUGGCGGCGACCGGCAAACGGGUGCGGAACAUGUACGCAAUCUACCUUUAACUGGAGGAUAGCCCCUCGAAAGAGGGAUUAAUACUCCGUAAGAUAACGAAGUGGCAUCGCUUUGUUA